rnacentral:rRNA from 1 species
GUAGUCCACGCCCUAAACGAUGUCAACUAGUUGUCGGGUCUUAACGGACUUGGUAACGCAGCUAACGCGUGAAGUUGACCGCCUGGGGAGUACGGUCGCAAGAUUAAAACUCAAAGGAAUUGACGGGGACCCGCACAAGCGGUGGAUUAUGUGGAUUAAUUCGAUGCAACGCGAAAAACCUUACCUACCCUUGACAUGUGCCGAAGCCCGCCGAGAGGUGGGUGUGCCCGAAAGGGAACGGCAACACAGGUGCUGCAUGGCUGUCGUCAGCUCGUGUCGUGAGAUGUUGGGUUAAGUCCCGCAACGAGCGCAACCCUUGUCAUUAAUUGCCAUCAUUCAGUUGGGCACUUUAAUGAAACUGCCGGUGACAAACCGGAGGAAGGUGGGGAUGACGUCAAGUCCUCAUGGCCCUUAUGGGUAGGGCUUCACACGUAAUACAAUGGCGCGUACAGAGGGUUGCCAACCCGCGAGGGGGAGCUAAUCUCAGAAAGCGCGUCGUAGUCCGGAUCGGAGUCUGCAACUCGACUCCGUGAAGUCGGAAUCGCUAGUAAUCGCGGAUCAGCAUGUCGCGGUGAAUA